rnacentral:tRNA from 1 species
GGUGUAGCUCACUGGUAGAGUGCUUGCCUAGCAAGCUGAGGCCCUGGGUUCCAUCCCCAGCAUC